ACUUCUGCGCUUUCUGAAGGUUUCCAGCCCUGGCUCUCGGCACCGGCCAGAGGAUUAAACCCGAUGCCAAGCUUCGGCUCUUUCCGGACAGUGCACUCACUCCUCCCCCGCCCGAGAGCUUCGGCUCCUUCCGCCACCGCUUCGGGAAGGCCUCACUCACGGGGACAGCUUCGGCUCUUUCCGUCGGCGCUUCGGCUCCUUCCGGCUUCGGGAACCGAAGAGGGAGGGAGGCCAGAGACGAGCGCAGGCACAGCGGGCGACGUAGAGGGCACUUCCGGAAGACCAGUAAUCCGGCAGCACCGCCUCCUAGCGGGCGGGCGUGGAAGCCUCCGCCCGGACGUGUCCCUCCCCCCCCCCUUGGCGGUCGCUUCCGCUCGCGGUCAUCGAGUCCCGUCUCCUGCCGCCCCGCCUGUAGUCGAGCGAGCCCCGCGGGCGGUGUUAACGCCUCUCUCCCGGAGCUCUGCCCCUCCGAGUUCCCUGGGGCACAACUGCUUCCCCCCCCGCCCCUGCCGCCGGGGGUGCUAAUUACACCCUGUCUCCCCACGCUCCGGCUCCCGGCCUGACCGCCCGCGCCGGGGAGCUCCCCGGUGCCCCCGUCACUGUCUCCGCGGCAACGGACACCCCCUCCAAGAAGAGGCCGGGCCUAGUUUAUCCCAAAUUUUAUCGUCUCUCUUUAA